GAUGAAGAACGUAGCGAAAUGCGAUACGUAAUGUGAAUUGCAGAAUUCAGUGAAUCAUCGAGUCUUUGAACGCACAUUGCGCCCCCUGGUAUUCCGGGGGGCAUGCCUGUCCGAGCGUCAUUGCUGCCCUCAAGCCCGGCUUGUGUGUUGGGUCUCGUCCCCCUUCCCGGGGGGACGGGCCCGAAAGGCAGCGGCGGCACCGCGUCCGGUCCUCGAGCGUAUGGGCCUUUGUCACCCGCUCUGUAGGCCCGGCCGGCGCUUGCCGAUCAACCAAAACUUUUUUCCAGGUUGACCUCGGAUCAGGUAGGGAUACCCGCUGAACUUAAGCAUAUCAAUAAGCGGAGGA
rnacentral:misc_RNA from 1 species